rnacentral:rRNA from 1 species
AGUGAGGAAUAUUGCGCAAUGGGGGAAACCCCGACGCAGCGACGCCGUGUGGGUGAGGAAGGCUUUCGGGUCGUAAAGCCCUGUCAGGUGGGAAGAAAUGGUUAACGGUUAAUACCCGUUAGUUUUGACGGUACCACCAAAGGAAGCACCGGCUAACUCCGUGCCAGCAGCCGCGGUAAUACGGAGGGUGCAAGCGUUGUUCGGAAUUACUGGGCGUAAAGGGCGUGCAGGCGGUUUGGUAAGUCAGAUGUGAAAGCCCUGGGCUUAACCCGGGAAGUGCAUUUGAAACUGCUUGGCUUGAGUAUCAGAGGGGAAAGUGGAAUUCCCGGUGUAGAGGUGAAAUUCGUAGAUAUCGGGAGGAAUACCGGUGGCGAAGGCGACUUUCUGGCUGAAUACUGACGCUGAGGCGCGAAAGCGUGGGGAGCAAACAGGAUUAGAUACCCUGGUAGUCCACGCCGUAAACGAUGUCAACUAGGUGCAGGGGGUGUUGAUCCCCUCUGUGCCGCAGUUAACGCAUUAAGUUCUCCGCCUGGGGAGUACGGCCGCAAGGCUAAAACUCAAAGGAAUUGACGGAA